ensembl:lncRNA
UUUUUUCCAUGUUGCACCUGCUGUAUUGGAGGGAAAGUGAGUACUAGGUCAGAGGAAGGCUGACGUCACGUAUAAGGAACUUGGCAGGCAUAAAUAGCUGAGAGACAGCAAUGAAAAGGGGAGAGAGAAAUGAAAUAGAGAAGACGAAGAUAGUGAGUGAGAGGGAGAGAUAAGGACAAAGUGCUGGAAACAAAAAAAGGUAUGCAAGGUGUACAUCGUUAAAGGGACAGCACGAGAAAACAGGCUGAGAUAAGGGUUGGCCAGGAGACUGGGAGCAUUUGCCAAGAACUACAACAGCCAGCCAGCCAGCCAGCCAUGCUUGGAAUUCUGCUACUUGUAGCGACGGUGAGCACCUGGGGGUUACCGGUGACUGGGUACACUGUCGGUUGCGUUCCCCGCAGACUGUGUGUGGAUAAGGACGCACUGCAGGAGCUGGCUCAGAGCGUGGCACACAACAUUAGUUCAUCACAUGACCGGAGAAUCCUUCUCAAGAUGAAGCAAUUUAGGAAAAUAACACGAUGGCCAAAACUUCACGGUUGUGUUAUGAUCCGGGUGGCCGACUUCUAUGACCAUGUUCUCCGGAGGAAGCUGGGCAUGACAGAGAACGAUCAUGUCGGCGACCGCAGGGGUCCAUUUGUGGAUCUAAUGGGGCUUAUGCAACACCUGGACGACUGUGUCCGUGUGGAUGAGAUGAAGUGUCAAGGAUUGAAUGCUAAAGCUGAGAAGAUGCCAUUGAUUGAGACACCACCUGUCAAAAAAAUGCAGCCAAGAGAAUGGGCAAUCCUACAGAUUCAGCAGCUUAAUCAAGCCAUGAAAAAUAUCAGUGAUGCGGAGACCUUAAGCAAGGCGAUUGAUGAGCUGAAGGUUCUCCAUAACUACAUCAAAGGAAGUGGCGUCCGCAACUGGUCAAAGGAGUGAAGAGAUGGAGGCCAUAAGUCAUUUUAUCUCCCACAUUUAUUAGGACAGGUGUUGCUACAGUAUGCUACAGAUUUCUCUAUUAUUUCGUGCCUGUACUUACCAGGGAAGUGCAGAUACCUGUGUUUUAGUGAGUAGCUCUUAAGGCACACCCCCAUUCACAUUCCGUCAAAUGGUGGAUGCUCGGCACACUGUGUGGUUGUAGAGACACACACCAAAACCUCUCACAGCACUGGUAGAUUCUUGAACCACUCCUAGCCUUCACUAGAAGGGACUUUCACUCUCUGGCUUUGUAUGCUCUUGUUUAUACUGGACUAUGAAUGAAAACACUGAUGACUGCCACUUGGUCAUUAGCAGGGGUUAGCUGCCCCUUAUACAGCCUGCCAGACUUUGCUUUCUGUCAAUCUUAGCUUUUCUCUAGCAUACAAAACUGGGAAAUCUGUUACAGCUCCAUAUGGGCACACACAGUUUAUCAAAACGAAUUAUGCUCUUUGUUCCAGUGAAGUUCUCACUGGGCCUGCUAUCGUACCUGUUAGCCUCUGUUUUAGCUGUGGCUUGUUUGUUUGUUUAUUUAAUGUAGAACAUGAAAUGGAUGAAAUCAUUUUCAUGUAACUCUUGUACUUUCGGUGAAAGACUGUGAUUUCUUGCAGAUGCAGGUAUUAUUGUAUGAAGUCAAUUGUAAUUAAUAUUUUGUCAAAAAUAUGAUGCAUUGUGAAUACAUGAGCACACUGAAUUUAUAAUGCAAACAUUUCAUGAAAAGACAGGUCUUUACCUUUACAGAACAUAACACACACACACACACCACAAUACUGUUGACAUAAUGCACAGACUGAAUGUAUUUUUUUAAGUGUGUUUGUGCCAGUCUUUCAUUUGCUUUCAAAUAAAAAAGAGACAAAAAAUCUCUAUGUGUGACA